CUAAGUUGCUUUGCAUUUAGACUACGUAAUAAGCGUAUUUAUUACCGCACCUAGUUGUAUCCUCUGCAGACGCUUUUAAAACCACUUUGCUUCUUUGGGAAACACUCUUUGGGGUAGACGGUUGUCAGGUUUGUCUCUGUGUGGUCUAAAUUAGAUUUAAAGCACAUUCCUUUCUAAAUCCAACACAAUGUUCCUCUUACUUAUUGGGCUAUUUAUCCAUUUUAGACUAGAAUAGUGCAAUGCAACUUCUAAACAAACCGAUGAAUCUGGUUCACUACUUGUUUACAGAACAACGAGGUACAAACUAUCUCAUUGUUACAUUCUUACACCUACUUUGUAAU
ensembl:lncRNA